UGGAAGGGGUAAGACUAGGCCAAAUGCUUUACUGAAACUAUUAAGAAAAUAAAUUUACAUGCUCCUCAGUUUGGAGCCUCCAAACCUUGUCACAUUUUUGUGUUGUCCUCCCCCUCCCCCACAGUUGUUGAAGUGACAAGUUGAAAUUUUUAUAAAUAAAUGAAGUUUUACAGAUAGUUCUUUCAAGAAAAAUGCCAUACACUAUGAUCUUGACAGCGUGUUUUUCAAAGCGAAAAACCAGUGGCGGAUCCAAAUUCAAAAUCGACGGAGUCAAUGAGUCUUCGAGGGAAGGAAAGGGACCAGCUCCAGAGUGACCAUAUACGAAUAAUUUAUCAUCAAAAAUGCAUUGAUCAGUGUAGAAAGCUUCCCCCUGUUGCCAAACUUCCAAAAGUUGCAAUUAUUUAUUCAGGCGGGGCUAUCUAAACUCACCAGAGCUGAUCUAGUAGUAAAAAUUACUAAGUUUGGUCACGAGGACAAGCUACCUGAAUGGUGCAAAUUUUCAUGCGUUUUCAUGGCUGAAAAGAUUGCCAUUACCAAAUUAAAUAAAAAACUAAUUUUUCCAA